CGACUGAGUGGCGGACGGGUGAGUAACGCGUGGGCAACCUGCCCCAUACAGGGGGAUAACAGUUAGAAAUGACUGCUAACACCGCAUAAGCGCACAGGGCCGCAUGGUCCGGUGUGAAAAACUCCGGUGGUAUGGGAUGGGCCCGCGUCUGAUUAGCCAGUUGGCGGGGUAACGGCCCACCAAAGCGACGAUCAGUAGCCGACCUGAGAGGGUGACCGGCCACAUUGGGACUGAGACACGGCCCAAACUCCUACGGAAGGCAGCAG
rnacentral:rRNA from 1 species